AAGGCUAAGGCUGGUGGCAUUGCUCGGUUGUAUACGACUUUGGUUGUAUACGACCUCGAGAAGCGUGUCAUUGCUCGUCAGAUUUGGUUGCACGACUUUUUUCGGUUUGACAUUUGGAUGUAAACAAACAAAGAAGGCAUAAACACAAAUAAAUCAGGUUCGCGAGUUAUCCGUUUCGACAAAAUAAGCGAGUUCAUCGUUUUUAACGAAAAAAGAAAAUUAAAUAAUGGAUUCUGAUACUGAACAAAAGAUUUUACGGAGUACGAGCCUCGCCUUGCGUUACUUAUUGUUGCAAAAACAAAGGCGGAAUGAAGUCAACAGUAUAUUUAAGGAUCGCAAGCUAAACGGGCAAUACUACGUGUUGUUUCCAAAACUUCAACAAGACGAACAGAAGUUUUUCGAAUAUAUGAGGAUGUCAAAAAGAACAUUUGACUACAUUUUGGGAAAGAUAGAACAUCUCAUCACAAAACAGCCCACACACGUUCCAUACAUUAGUCCAGAGGAGAGAUUAAUGGUGACUCUCAGUAUACAUUGUUGCAAAAGUAUAAUUUUUCGGAUGUCGGCAGUUUUUUAAUUAUCGUAAAUGAAUUGAGCGAUUUCGAUUACAGUAUUCGAAGCGCAAGAUACUAAAGAGUCUUAAAUACACAUACCACAGCACCAUUCGCGAAACGUAGUGGUACACCGUUCUAGCUUCAUCAUGACCACGAGCAACAUUGUACGUUUUACUGCUGUUUUCUAUGGAUUCUCCAUCAAUUCGGGAUUAUGCUUUUUAAUGCUAGAACCGGCAAUGCAAAAAAACCAUUCAUCGUAGCGGAUAUAGAGCGAUUCAUCUUAGUUUUUCAUCAAUUGUGGAAAAAAUAUAUAAAUGUAAUAAAAAUAUUAAAUAAAAUAUUAUUAAAAACAUUAAUUAUGUGACAUUAAUAUUAUAACUCCUUAGAGAGACUGAGAUAAUGAGAUUAAGAACUACGUAAUACUGAAACAAAACAGCAGCGAGACGUAAUUAUAGAUUACAUUUUAAAAAGAUAACUACUUUAUAGUUGUUAUGGGUUCAUAUGUUCUGAUGAUGUGAGUAUUGUUAUGUGCUCAUAUGUAUCGAUGCUGUAUUGUUAGUUAUUGAUUGAUUUUAAAGUAACGUUUUCUAUCCUAAAACCAGCGUUGUGGUCCAUAUUAUAUUUUGCGUUAGUACUAUUAAAACAUUUCUAUCCAUAUAAAACUAUUUUGGGGUCGAGCAACGCCAUAGCAAUGCACAUAACAUAGUAAGAUAAAAAAUACGCUAGAAUGGUAACAAUUGUAAUAGAACAAAGUGUACCAAUUCAUUUGAUUUUGCGCAUUAAAAUGAGAAUACUUUCAUUUUUAUUUACUUGGAUGUAAUCCAAAUUUUCGAUACAGUUAUAACGUUUGGGAAUGAAUAGUUCCUAAAACUUACAAUUAGAUUUAAAUCAUCCGUCUGAUGAGACAGUAAAUGGUUCGCAUACUUAUUGUCUUUGCUAUAAAUAAGUACCACAAAACAAUAAUAAAUAUUACCUGUACAUGUGUGAAA